AUAGACCUAAUAAAGAGAUGAGACGGGAAGAGAUAAAGUAGAAACAUGAGUGAAAAUUUUGUUUCCGAGCUAGCAGAAAGGAAAAUCAACGCAGUUACCAGUAUAGCUCUUCAUAAAAUUUCAUUUUGUUCCGCUUCAUUCUCAAUUUCAUUAUGCUCGCCUAGGACAUUAAGGCUGAUAAUGCAUGGCCUCACGUUAGACUCUACAGCCAAGGAUAUUUUUCGUUUACAUGCAUUUUCAGGUUACUUCUGUAAUACUUUCAUUUCAAUUCUAUGCUUUUUUACUGCUCUACAAAUAUAUGCUACGCAACACGUCUCCUCUUUAGUUUUAAAUAGAGUUAUACAAAUUUUGAUCUGAUGUGAAUAAAUUAUUUGUUUUUCUAUUUUAUUCUAUUCAUUCGUAUUGGAUUGGAAUACGUCAGCUUUUUUCUCCUGUCUUAAAAUAUCAUAUAUCUGUGCCUUCUAUGAAUAUACCAAAAAUAAAUAUGAAUUAACUUUUCAAAGGCUGCCUUGGUAUAGUUUACCCAUAGAAACUCGGACGGAAAGUCUGCAGGACAAAUGAAAUUGUGAGUAAAAUUUCAUAUUUUGAAAGAUCAUAUAGUUAAAAAUGUUCUCUAUGUAGAGCGAUCGUAAAACCUAGCCCCUCGCUUAAUUUUUUAAACAGUGUAUUAAAUACCUAAAGCUGUAAUUUCUAGUUAAAAAAUAAAAAUGUUUUCUAGAA